UACGUAGGGGGGCAAGCGUUGUCCGGAUUUAUUGGGCGUAAAGAGCGUGUAGGCGGCUAGGUAGGUCCGUUGUGAAAACUCGAGGCUCAACCUCGAGACGUCGAUGGAAACCAUCUAGCUAGAGUCCGGAAGAGGAGAGUGGAAUUCCUGGUGUAGCGGUGAAAUGCGCAGAUAUCGUAAGGAAGACCAGUGGCGAAGGCGGGGUCUCUGGACAGUUCCCUGACGCUGAGGCACGAAGGUCAGGGGAGCAAACGGGG
rnacentral:rRNA from 1 species